UGAGCCUAAUGAUUAAACCCUUAUGAGGUUGACCGAAAAGAGUCUCUCAUAAUUACAAACGAAAAUACUAGUAUAGCACAAAAACACAUCUUCUACAAAUGUGUCCUAUUGUGUAAACAAUAAAGAUAAAGAUAUAGAAGGUGUGUUUUUGUGCUAUAAUUGGAAAAACCUUUUAUUGGAUUUUUUAUCAUUUUAUAGUAGUUGGAUAGAUUUGAAGAUUUGGAGCUAAGCUAUAUAUUAUGAGUUUGAGCAAACACAUCAAUAUAUAUAUAUAUAUAUAUAUAUAUAUAAAGGAAGGUUUUAAACAUUCCAUGUGACAGCAUACUUAUGCUUAUUUUCUAAUCUUUGUCCUCUUAAUUUUCUAACUUAUUUCUAAUUUUUUGAUUUAUUUAAAUUUUAUUUUAUUAAUUAAUUGAUUACUUUUAAUGGGUCUUAAUGAUUUAGGUUUCAUUUUCUUUAGGUCUUUUCGUUUAUCUCAUUUCUUAUUUUGCCUCCAUCUUCUUAGACAGAGAAAAAAAACCCUUCAGAAUAUAAUGAUCCUUUCAUUUCGCCUUCUCUGCUCUUUCUCUCUUUAAUUUUUCCAUUCCACCCAAAUUUGACGAAUCUAAUAAUGUUAAGACAGCAGCAUUACCGGAGAAAGAGGCUGCCCCUGCAUCCAAAAUGGCAUCGUUUGCCUUAAGACCAAACUCUAGGGGAGGCUUUGGUGAAUGUGUACCAUGUGUCUGAGAAGCCCAAAUACCAAAGAUAAGAAACCAAAACACAAACAAAAUUGCCCAGUAACGAGCAGGUCCAUACUUGAUUCUGGAGCUUAAUGCAAUUUGCGAGAGCAAUUAUCAGCAGAAGACGAAGAAGCGAUCUUAGCAGAAUUUGAGAGCUUAGAAAUUGAGGCUAUAAAAAUACUAAACGAUGAAAUGCAGUUGGAUGUCAUCAAGAUUGGAAAUUUGGUUCGGGUUAAAGUGCGCAAUCCGUAUGUUUAAAAUACGUUAUAAAAGAUGACCUUCUUUGAAAUCCUAAAGAAACAGGUAUUGUAGUAAUGUAUGAGUGUGUGCGUGUGCUUUAAAUAAAAUAAAAUAGAAGGGAGAACACUGCAAAUCGCUCGCAGUUGGGACGAAGGUGCUACUCCUCUUAAAGAUAUAUUUAAGGAGAAAGAACUCUUUGAAAGGCGAAAGACAUAAUGCAUGGCUUAAUGAUGAGUUUACAUCCAAAGUAGACAAUCCUAUUGAGUUGUGGAGAAAGCAUGAUUCAAAGCUUGCAAAGUAACAUCAUUGGAGGAGGAAUUACGCUCAACUAAAGAUACUGCUUUAGCAAACGAGGAACAACUAUCUGCUGAACUCUCAACAGUAAGUGCUUCUAAAAUUCUGCAUAUUGAGAUGAUGAUGAAAAUAGAAUCUGAUUCUAUCUACGUUCAUCUUAUUGACUUAACCCUUUUAGUCUUUUAUUGCAUUCUUCUUAGAAUCUAAUUUUAUUUAUUUAUUUUGUUUGAUUUUUUUUUUCUAGGGGUCAUAUAUAGUCAUAAUUUGGAUUUCUUUUUAAUGUUUACAAAUUGGAGAAAUCCUGAACUAUAUCAAUAUCAUACAUGAUAUAGUUUCUCCGUUAUUUUUUUUUUUUUUGUUUUUCAAGAACCACCUACCAAGAGGUUUGUUAUGGAUGGUGAAAUGUCAGAUUACAUUCUUGCCAAAGUCUGAUUCUGCAAGUAAGAUUAUUGAAUCAAUUAUUAUUUUUUGGUCUGUUUUUAGAAACUGUCUUAUUGACCCGAAGGAAGCAAUUGUAAAAGUAAUAUGUGCAUCUUCAAAAUGUGGAGAAUAAUAAAUUACAAUAUAAACAAAUAUUUGUGUGGUGGUUGGGUGUUUAUGCCAUUUUCGUUUAUGUGUUUUAUAGUUGAAUAUUGAGCUUUUUGGCUAUUUGUGUUUGUUUACUGUUAAUGUGGCCGUUAAAGCUCUAGACUAUUUGAAUUUCUUAGUGUUUAGUCUUUAAAUUAUUUAACGAUUGUUUAACAGUACUUUUUUUAUUUUAUUAAUGUCUUAAUUGAGAUAUACUAUUGUUUUAAAUACAAGUUUUAUUAUUGUCAAAUUUGAAACAAUAGAACUAAAAACUAUUGAGAAUUAUAAAGCAAAAAUAAAACUGGUUAUAAUAAUAAUAAUAAUAAUAAUAAUAAUAAUAAUAAUAAUAAUAAUAAUAAUAAUAAUAAUAAUAAUU